rnacentral:rRNA from 1 species
GACGAACGCUGGCGGCGUGCUUAACACAUGCAAGUCGAGCGGUAAGGCCCUUUCGGGGGUACACGAGCGGCGAACGGGUGAGUAACACGUGGGUGACCUGCCCUCAGCUCUGGGAUAAGCCUGGGAAACCGGGUCUAAUACUGGAUAUGACUCCAUGACGCAUGUUGUGGGGUGGAAAGCCUUGUGCGGCUGAGGAUGGGCCCGCGGCCUAUCAGCUUGUUGGUGGGGCGAUGGCCUACCAAGGCGACGACGGGUAGCCGGCCUGAGAGGGCGACCGGCCACACUGGGACUGAGACACGGCCCAGACUCCUACGGGAGGGCAGCAGUGGGGAAUCUUGCGCAAUGGGCGAAAGCCUGACGCAGCGACGCCGCGUGAGGGAUGACGGCCUCGG